ensembl:lncRNA
CCUCUGGAUGGUCUCGAGUGGAGGGCGGAACUCACUGUGGGUUCACGCCCUCGGCCCACGCCCUCGGGAGAUGAGACACCUGGGUCUCAUUAAGGUGAUCAGCAUUUAAGCCAGGAGGUGACUGCUGUUCGUCGCUGGAUCGUUGUCUACCACGCGUUAGUGAAGCCAACCUACAGCAAGUUGCGGCAAAAACGACAGUCCAGUGGUUUCUAUACUCAUUUGUUGCAACAACGGAGCCUACUCACUAAAAGAAGAAAAAGUCAGAGAAUACGGAGGUUGGACAUUUCUCAUACUGUAUAGUUCCUGUUUCUGUUCUUCUGUUGGAUCGUUAUGACAUCUGAACAACAUGGAAACAGACCUGCAGUGCAAGCUGAGCCUACAGGAGCAAAAGAGAAGACGCUGGGAUGAAGAAGAAAAACCCCCAAAUGUAGUUAGUUUAGCCUAGCUUGACCACAAAAAC